rnacentral:rRNA from 1 species
GAUGAACGCUGACAGAAUGCUUAACACAUGCAAGUCGAUGGGGAAGUGGUGCUUGCACCAUGGCAACCAUGGCGGACGGGUGAGUAACGCGUAAGGGACUUACCUGCAGGACUGGGAUAACAGGGGGAAACUCCUGACAAGACCGGAUAAUGUCAUGGAGCUGCAUGGCUUUAUGAUGAAAGGAGACGCCUGCGGAGAGCCUUGCGUCCUAUUAGCUAGUUGGUGAGGUAAUGGCUCACCAAGGCGAAGAUAGGUAGCCGGCCUGAGAGGGUGGACGGCCACAAGGGGACUGAGAUACGGCCCUUACUCCUACGGGAGGCAGCAGUGGGGAAUAUUGGACAAUGGGGGCAACCCUGAUCCAGCAAUUCUGUGUGCACGAAGAAGGUUUUCGGAUUGUAAAGUGCUUUCAGCAGGGAAGAAGUAAGUGACGGCACCUGCAGAAGAAGCGACGGCUAAAUACGUG